rnacentral:rRNA from 1 species
UACCAGCACCCCGAGUGGUCGGGACGCUUAUUGGGCCUAAAGCCUCCGUAGCCGGUUCUACAAGUCUUCCGUUAAAUCCAACUGCUUAACAGGUGGGCUGCGGAAGAUACUAUAGAGCUAGGAGGCGGGAGAGGCAAGCGGUACUCGAUGGGUAGGGGUAAAAUCCGUUGAUCCAUUGAAGACCACCAGUGGCGAAGGCGGCUUGCCAGAACGCGCUCGACGGUGAGGGAUGAAAGCUGGGGGAGCAAACCGG